rnacentral:rRNA from 1 species
UGGGGAAUAUUGCACAAUGGGCGAAAGCCUGAUGCAGCAACGCCGCGUGAGUGAAGAAGGCCCUUGGGUCGUAAAGCUCUUUCGGCAGGGAAGAAGGGAAGUUUAGCUAAUAACUGGGCUUUUUGACGGUACCUGAAUAAGAAGCACUGGCUAACUACGUGCCAGCAGCCGCGGUAAUACGUAGGGUGCAAGCGUUGUUCGGAAUGACUGGGCGUAAAGCGCGCGUAGGCGGAUCCAUAAGUCGAAUGUGAAAGCCCUGGGCUUAACCUAGGAAUGGCAUUCGAAACUGCGGAUCUUGAAUAUUUGAGAGGUUGGCGGAAUUCCAGGUGUAGGAGUGAAAUCCGUAGAUAUCUGGAGGAACAUCUGAGGCGAAGGCGGCCAACUGGUGAAAUAUUGACGCUGAAGUGCGAAAGCGUGGGGAGCAAACAGG